ensembl:snRNA U1 U1 spliceosomal RNA
AUAUUUACCUGGCAGGUGAAAUACCAUCAUCACGAAGGUGGCUUUCCCAGAGUGAGGGUUAUUGGUUGCACUCUGGAUCUGCUGAUGAUUGCAAUUUCAAGUACGGAAAACUCAACUGCAUAAUCUUUGGUAGUGGAGGACUGCGUUCACACUCUUCCC